UAUGACAGGACGUAGGUAGAACUGUAUGGUGUUGCAUUAAAUUAGCACCAUGUUUUAUCAGAUCACAUCUAAAUAUCAUUGCUAAAAGUCAAAUAUCUACAUGUCACACUAAAGUGUCAUUUGUAACAUAUCAUUAUACUGAUGCAUUUCACAGAGAUAUUAAUUGUUUCAAUGAAGAACUAUAGAUCUAAGUUAUGAAAUAUUGCUGACUUUCAGUUAUACAUAUUGUUCAUGACAUUUCGAAACUUCAGUCGGAUUACUAGGAUGUGAUCAUAUGAUAUCAUAUAUUUACAUUUUGCAAAAAAAACGCAUAAUAGUGAUAAAUGUUUGAACACUUGCGAAUGAGGUAAAUAGCAAAUGGAUAUAACUAUAUUGAUAUAUGACCGUAACUGGAAUGUGUAAAACAAAUAGUAGAACAACAUCAUCCUUUCAUAUACUGAUGACAAUUCAAUGUGUUAUUACUGACGUGGAUUUUAAAAAUUCAAAACUGUGCUGUCAACAUUUUUCAGAAUUUCUUUGCAUUGUAAGAACUGUUCAGUAUUUAGGCGUAGUAUUAUAGAAAUUGAAAGCUAUGUGAAACACAUUCGUUUGAUAUGCAUCAACUUUAAAAUACACGAGGAGAUAAAUGCAAAAUCUGUGAAUAACUAAUGCUAAUAUACUGGAAAAGCACCGAUUGUUUGUCCGCACAUCGAGACUUGUGCUAUUUUUAGAUAGCAGACAUUGUCAGUGACGUCACAGAUCCUUACAUACGAGACAGCGCUAUGUAUAUAGACAAUCAAGCAUCUGAUUGAGGUUGAUGAUUCAUAUACAGAAUGAAAGGUAGCAAGAGGGCAUGUAUCUGUACAGACAAUAUGAUAACAUAAGGGGUUUGGAGUGUAUACCAGUAAUAAUGUUGGAAGUUUUAAGACAGACAUUGUUAUUUCUGUUGACAAGGGAAGUGGGUACGAGCAGAAAGUUAACAGACUGCGAGAAAGGAAUUGAACGACCAUUCCAGUUCUUCCAAUAACAGCCUGGAUGAUACAAGCGCUUUUGUUAUUGAUUGAUAUAUGGAAAUAUUAUUGAAUCUGCAAAAGUGACUGUUUCUGUUUAAGCUCUGACAGACUCAGUGAAAAUGAUGAGAACCUAACACAAGGAUUUCCAUAAACGUUUUUUUUCUAAAUACGAAAAAAUGUACUACAUGUAUGAAUUUAAUGUACUAUGUAAAAUAACUGCAUUUAACAGCAUUUUGUUUGUUUUUAUCGGCCAAGAUAAAAUGUUAAUUAUUUUAGAAAUAUAAAACAAGUACUAAUACAGAUGCUAAGACUUAGAAAAAAAGAUGUAAUUAAUUUGCUGGAAUCCACCAUAUUGGAAUGAAGCUUCAUCUAAGUGUUGUAUUGUCAUACUACCGGGCAUAGUUUGCAGUGCGGCGCUGUUGUAUGUUUGGCAAAAAUCUUUUAAAAGAUGAAUUUCAUUUACAAGCAGGUUCUUUGUUUUCUUCAAAGAAGUGCUUAUUUAUUUAGCAAAGUUGGUCUAGCACUUUCUAUUUUCUUAUGAUUGCACGAGAGAUUCGUAACAGCACUUUGAUAAAGGAUAUUAUAAAGGAUAUUACGUAAGUGUCUUUUCAUACUGAAGUUUUAAACAAGUUGAAUAAUUUAAGAAAUGCGAGGCUCUGCCAAGCAUUAGUUACGGUACAUGUUAGCCUUUCCUAUUGAAACAUCAAAAAAAUCUAC
rnacentral:lncRNA from 1 species